rnacentral:rRNA from 1 species
UACGGAGGGUGCAAGCGUUAUCCGGAUUCACUGGGUUUAAAGGGUGCGUAGGUGGGCAGUUAAGUCAGUGGUGAAAUCUCCGGGCUUAACCCGGAAACUGCCAUUGAUACUAUCUGUCUUGAAUAUCGUGGAGGUAAGCGGAAUAUGUCAUGUAGCGGUGAAAUGCUUAGAUAUGACAUAGAACACCAAUUGCGAAGGCAGCUUACUACCCGAAUAUUGACACUGAGGCACGAAAGCGUGGGGGAUCAAAACAG